rnacentral:tRNA from 1 species
GGCUGGGAAGCGAACUAUCGCAUUUAGUUUCGACCUAAACUUUGGCAACAGCUGCCCCUAGCUU